rnacentral:rRNA from 1 species
GUGAGGAAUUUUCCGCAAUGGGCGAAAGCCUGACGGAGCAAUGCCGCGUGAAGGAUGAAGGCCUAUGGGUUGUAGACUUCUUUUCUCAGAAAAGAAUUAUGACGGUAUCUGAGGAAUAAGCAUCGGCUAACUCUGUGCCAGCAGCCGCGGUAAGACAGAGGAUGCAAGCGUUAUCCGGAAUGAUUGGGCGUAAAGCGUCUGUAGGUUGUUUAAAAAGUAUUCUGUCAAAGAUUAGGGCUUAACCCUAGAUAGGCAGAAUAAACUUUUAAGCUAGAGUUUGGUAGAGGCAGAGGGAAUUCCCGGUGGAGCGGUGAAAUGCGUAGAUAUCGGGAGGAACACCAAAGGCGAAGGCACUCUGCUGGGCCAAUACUAACACUGAGAGACGAAAGCGAGGGGAGCAAAUGGGAUUAGAUACCCCAGUAGUCC